ensembl:lncRNA
UUCGUGAGCACGGAAUGUUUUUCCAUUUGUUUGUAUCAUCGGUGCGUUCUCUGAGCAGUGUUUUGUAGUUCUCCUUGUAGAGAUCUUUUAUUUCCCUGGUUAGCUGUAUUCCUGGGUGUUUUAUUCUUAUUGUGGCAAUUGUGAAUGGGAUAUUGUUCCUGAUUUGACUCUCGGCUUGACGGAUGUUGGUGCAGAGGAAUGCUAGUGAUUUCCGCACACACAUUUGUGUCUGCACUUUUUGCUAAAGCUGUUUACCAGUUGAAGGAGUUUUUGGCCUGAGACUAUGGGGUUUUCUAGAUAUAGGAUUAUGUUGUCUGCAAACAGGGUUAGCUUGGCUUUCUCUCUUCCUGUUUGAAUGACCUUUAUCUCUUCCUCUUGCCUGAUUGCUCUGUUUGAGGCUUCUAAUGCUAGGAAGUGGAGAGAGGUAUCUUGUGCCAGUUUUCAAGGGGAACACUACCAGCUUUUGCCCAUUUAUUAUGAUGUUGCCUGUGGGUUUGUCAUAGAUGGCUCUUAUUAUUUUGAGUGGAAAUUGCUAUUUCUCAUCUAAAGUUUUCUGAAUGGCAGCAGGGAGCUUCUGGAGGGUGAGUUACCUGCUCUGCACAGGGAGGCUGAGGCCAAGACUUGUGUGGUGGAUCUGCUGCCACCAAGUGGUGAGGGAGGGAGCCUGGGAGAGUCUCAGUGUUUCUGGGCUUCAGUGUGUCCUGAUCAGUAAGGUAGAGGCUUAUUGUACCUCUCUGAGGUCCCUUUGUGCUCUGUUUUCUCUGAGCUUCUGAGGAACUGAGAUGCUUUUCAAUACUGCCUGGGACCUUCAGCUGAGACCUGACUCUGUGUCCUUUGCAGGAGCCUGAGCUGAGCCUACACGCUGGAAUCCCAGAGCUGCGGGAACAGGUGGAAGAAAGAAAGUCAGCAGGUUUAGGGGAUGAGAAUAAUCCACAAAGGACAAGCCAUUGCUGCAGGGAUCAGACUGACACCCACAUCUAUCGUGCAUCCCCUGUCUACUUCUCCGCAGAUACCUGGAAAUGGAAUGGCCAGAUCAAGAGCUCAGUCACAUUGGAUAUACACAGCAGGAAUGAAGGACCAGUAUUUUCUGGGUCUCUCUCUCAAGUGGAUGAGCUUCAGAGAUUCAUGUAGUCUUUGGCCACCCUGCCUGUCUUCUAUUCCAGUAAAAGAAUCGCUGUAAUGAAGGGUCCUUAAAAGAGGAGGUGGAUGACCUGACUUGGGCGGGGACUCCAAGAGGAGUGUCUGCCUUGCUGUGCAGUGUGCAGUGUUCGUGCCAAGGGCUUGAGACAGCUUGUGUGACUCACCCCAUUUUGGCUGCUGGACCCAUCUGCACUCCCCCCUCUCUAGGGCUGUCGAGCUGAGACAAAGGCCGCAGGCUGAGUCACUGAGGCAAAAACAGAAUACAAAGCAAAGGUCUGUGGUUUAUGAGGACAUUGUGCUGUCUGCUUUCAUGUCCCCAUCAGUCUCUGUAUAAGCAAUAAACUUGCUGCAAUUGAGAUGCCUAAGAGGGACAAGAGGCCCCUGCCCAUAUUUUCCCUGCACCUAAGCCUUUGAUCUAACUCCUGAUGGAAAAACAGGAUUAACAAGCCACCUUAAGGGCACCAUUGUUUGCUUGCACUGUGUAUCUUUGAAAAACAAACUGCUUUGUAAACUAUUAUCACAAGCUCCCUUAACCUGCUUUGUGAGCGGUUAUCACAAGCCCCUGAUAAGUGUUUUCAUGGAGUUUCUAUUUCCUUUCUGUUUACCCCUUUUCUGCUGAGAUAAAGUAAAUGCAACAAGAAAAAAGGUAUAAAAGCUGUAACCCACAAGAAUAAACUUGCUGCGUUGUGACCAUAAGUUACACAGACCUCCAGACUCCGCUUUACUAUUUUCUUUCACUUCCACGCACUCUCUCCCUCAGGUUGAACGAGACAUCUACACUGGCGGUCUCGGGGACUCCCACAGGUCGGUAGCCCCCCGGCAGAUGUGCCAGACCCCAACAGUGCAGAAACCUGCUGCAUAACCUCCCUGAUUCUCUUGCUCAGUCUCCUGGCCAGACCCUCAGAGUCCCUGCCCUGUGUGCCCUGGAAACUCAGUCAGAUGAGCCAAGGUAUCUCCAGCCCGGACUCAUCCCUGGGCAUUUUUGUGGCUUUGGGUGCCCUGAUCUUCUCCAGGUCUUGUCCUGCAAACAACUGACCUUCAGGGGGAGUCUGGGUAAGGAGGCUACUUGUCACUUAAAUCUAAGGGAUUCCAUAAGGUCCUGACUUGGGUCCUAGUCACUUGCAAACCUAUGCAUCUCCAUCCCAUCCCCCAAAUGAUGAAAGGAAACUUUGUCAGGACUCAUGCCAGACAAAUAGGGUGGGGCCUUUCAUAGAGCCAAGUUCUUAGGCCAUCAAUAAGAGAUGGAAACCACCUGAAGGAAGGUGCCACGGUGGGAAUCUGGGUGGCAGGAAGCAGUCACUGAACUGUCAGGGUGAAUCCUGGCCCUCACACACCCUUUCUCCUCCUGAACUCCUUGUCUCAUUUCUCCUGUCUGCUCUUUCCCCGCCUUUCCCAAGGCUCAAAACACUUGGUAACCUUGGACAGUUUCAAAACUGGAGAGAUUUGGCCACAACAUUUUCAAGCUAGGAAGGUCCCCCAGAACUAUUGUCUAAGUUUUUAUGUUGAUUAGAAGAGAACAAGAGAGUUUCCAUCUGAUCUGGUCCUAAGUCUCCCUGAGUCUGGGCAGGAAGCAGAGCAGAGUCUGGACAGGAAGCAGGAGGAUGCCCAGGGUCCUGGACUUGCCCCUCCUAGCUGCUCAGCUCCUCACCUGUUCACUGUGAGAGAGCUGCCCUGGAAUGGGGAAUCCAUGGUUUCCACAGAGGCUGGGAUCCCAGGCUCAAAUCUAAAUACUGGCUGAUUCAGGAGGCUAAGGGAGGCAAUUCCCUGGAGAGAGGUGUCAGGAUUUGGGACAAAAGCAGCAUCUAGUCGCUGUCCACAGAGACCUCAAGGACAGGAAUCCACUGGUUCCCAAUUGGAGGGGAUCCCAUGAAAAUGAAAUGAAACCCACAAGUUAGUACUAGACCGAAGACAGGAGAGUCGUCCUCGCGGCCCCCGUGGAGAGAUCGAGCUCAAGGACUGCAAGGCUGGCUCUCCCCUAGUAUGGCCAACGAAGAGGAUGACCCAGUCAUACAGGAGAUCCACGUGUACUUGGCCAAGAGUCUGGCAGAAAAGCUGUAUCUGUUUCAGUAUCCCGUGCA